GGCUCGGUAGUUUAGUUGGUAAAGCGCUCGUUUAGCAUACAAGAGUCCUGGGUUCAAAUCCCACCCGAGCAC
rnacentral:tRNA from 1 species